rnacentral:rRNA from 1 species
AUGGCCGCGCCCUCCCUUCACACGUAUCUCCUCCUCUUCUGCAACGCGAUCGCGCUGCUGCUCGUGGUCGUGCCCCCGUGCGCGGGGCUCGGGCUCGACACGGUGAGGGGCUUCCUCACCAGGGAGGAGGACACCGUCGUCUUCAGCCUCAUCGAGCGGGCCAAGCACCCGCUGAACCUGCCGGCCUACGACGAUCGCCCGUCCUUCGGCCCCGCCGGCCGCCAUGGCCGCCGCAACGGCUCCUUCGUCGAGCUCUUCGUCCGGGAGUCCGAGCAGAUCCAGGCCAAGGCAGGAAGGUACCAAAGCCAGCAGGAGGUCCCUUUCUUCCAAUCCAGAGUGCCCUUCACGCUGGCGCCUCCAUACAACUUCACCACCGAUCUGCAUCCCGGAGCGGCGUCCGUGAACGCGAACGACGCCAUAUGGGGCAUGUAUUUCAGCGAGCUGCUCCCUCUGCUGGCCAACAAUGGCAGCGAGGAUGGCAACUACGCUGUGACCGCCGCAUCGGAUCUCGCGUGCCUGCAGGCGCUCUCGAGGAGGAUCAACUACGGGAGGUACGUGGCAGAAGUGAAGUUCAGAGGAGACCAGCAAAGAUACACAGAUUUGAUUCGUUCAAAGGACAAGGAUGCUCUGAUGAAACUGCUGACAUCUGAAGCCCAAGAGGAUGUGGUGAAGAGGAGGGUGGAGAAGAAGGCCAUGGUGUUCGGCCAAGAUGUGACCUUGGACGGACCAACUGAAACUGGUGACGACGCCAGCAGCCAAUCCAGUUUCAAAGUCGCCCCUUCGGUGGUUUACGAGUUGUAUGACCGAUGGGUGAUCCCCUUGACAAAACAAGUGGAGGUCGAGUACCUUCUCCAUCGUCUCGAUUGA